GCCCGAGUGGCGGAAUGGCAGACGCGGAGGCCUCAAAAGCCUCUACUCGAAAGGGUGUGUGGGUUCGAGUCCCACCUCGGGCA
rnacentral:tRNA from 1 species